rnacentral:misc_RNA from 1 species
GCACAAUAUUAUUGAUUCCUCAUCAUAACACCUUUAAAACCACAUGAACAAAGACAGACACUCUAGGUUAUGGUCCUUACAGAAAAUACCACAUAUAAUGCAACAUGCGCCCCCCAGUCUACAAUCAGCUAUCUCACUUCUACACUUUCUUGGAUAUGGUAGCCAAAUUCAAAGUAUUCCCAUACUUCACUGCCAGAGCUUUUCCACACCAGCCAUGACUAUCAUCCAGAGUCGGCAUCCUCACCUCAACAAAAGGCGAAGCCGCACGCUGAGCACCUGGCAGGAGCGCACCAGCCAAAACCCUAAGCACAUUCGAAGCAUCAAUGUCCAUACACACACUAAUCUCAACCGACCCUUUAGCAGCUGCAGGAAUCCCAGAGAUCUUGAAGUACCCCAAGAGGUGAUUCUCCUCAGCAUUCUUCCCCUCCCCUUCAUAAACAACAAUCAGCGCCUCAGUCUGGUCAUCAUGUGCAGUCGUGAACAGCAUGUCUUUCCUCGCAGGGGUUGCAGUGUUGCGGUGUAUAAUCUUCACGAAGGUAUCACCGUCUACACGUAUCCCAAGACUCAGAGGUGUGGCCUGAAUUGUCAGCAGGUCCAAGCUCCCCGAAGGAUCACCAACCCCCGAAGCAAUGGCUCCUUCUAGCGCAGCACCGCAAACCGCAGCCUCCAGUGGAUCGAUGCUCUCAUAGGCAGCAUUUUUUUUACACAGCCCCAGAACCAGAGUUCUGAUCUUCGGUAUGUUCGAACAUCCGCCUACAAGGAUCACAUCAUUAACAUUUUCCGCAACCAACUUUGCAUCAACCAAGCUCUGGAUUACGAGUUUCCCACACGUCUCGAAUAAUUCACUGUUAAUUUCCUCGAACUCCAAUCUCUCCAACACUCUGCUAAUAAUUUUCCCUCCACCCAAAUCCACAUUGAUUUCAACCCUCUUCUGCUCGCUAAG